rnacentral:rRNA from 1 species
CUGUCUCUAUAAAAUUAUUAAUUUAACUUUAUUUUUUAGUUAAAAAGCUAAAAUUUUAUUAAAGGACGAGAAGACCCUAUAGAGUUUUAUAAUUAUUUUUUGAUUUUUUUUUUAAUUUAAGAUAAGUUAGAAUUUUAAUUAUUUUAUUGGGGUGAUAGGAAAAUUAAUUAAACUUUUUUAAUUUUAUUAACAUUGAUUUAUGAUUUUUUGAUCUUUAUGUUAAGAUUAUUAGAAUAAAUUACCUUAGGGA